rnacentral:rRNA from 1 species
UACGUAGGGGGCAAGCGUUGUCCGGAUUUAUUGGGCGUAAAGAGCGUGUAGGCGGCCAGGUAGGUCGGUUGUGAAAACUGGAGGCUUAACCUCCAGACGUCGACCGAAACCCCUUGGCUAGAGUCCGGAAGAGGAGAGUGGAAUUCCUGGUGUAGCGGUGAAAUGCGCAGAUAUCAGGAAGAACACCCGUGGCGAAAGCGGCUCUCUGGGACGGUACUGACGCUGAGACGCGAAAGCGUGGGGAGCGAACAGG